UUUGAGACAACAUGAAGCCUUUUCAAGCAAACUGCUUUGACGCUCAGUGCUGCCUCCAUCCGUCACUACCAACAGUCCUUGAGUAACAGACAUUACACCACCCCUCUGGUGACCAUGCAGAGGCCACAGGUUACUGGUGGCACCCCGCUACAGAUCCCACCACAGCCUGUACCCAAGAACAGGCACCCCAUCCUCCUGUACUCCAUCCAACCCUUACUGAGGGAGACAGUUAUCAGUAAGGAAGGCCACCCCCAUCCCCAGCCUGACUCCCCCCAGACCUGUGGCACUCAAGGCGCAGGCCAGAGCUGCUGGAGCCUGGAUGUGAGAGUGGCCGUGCUGCUGGUGAUCGUGGCUGGAGCUCUGAUACUGAUCCUGCUCUACAGACUCCUCCAGCUGAGGCACAGACUGAGGCUGGCCCAGGCUCGACAUGCCCUGGAGUACUACAGUUUCUACCACACCGCUACCUACACCCUCAAGGACCCCAGGCUGCCCCGGAUACUGCCCACGAAUGGAGAUGCUAUAGAGGUCACCCCUGUGGCCAACCCUGUGGCCCCUAUUGUUGUCACCCCAGUACCACCUCCACCGGUCUCCCCACCACCCACUCUUCCCCUCCCUCCACCCCCCAUCUUGUCUCUACCCCCUCGCCUACCUCCCCCUCCUCUACUGCCUCCACCCCUUCUCCCACUCUCUUCCUCACUCUCUCUCCCUCUGCCCCUGCCCAUCAUCCACACCACCCCACCCAGCCCUCACCAGUCCUGGGGCGCCAGCUCGGAUGCAGAGGUGUACUCUCGGAUCGGAGCGUUCAGACCAUCCAGGCUGUCCAGCCUCAGCCACUCACAGAUUUGUGUGUGGGUGUUCUCCCUUGUGAUGAGUUCUUUGAGGAUCAUGAAAGGGAUUCUUUUGAGUUCACUGUUUUAUUAUCCACUCACUGUUGAGUGCAUAGGCUUUGACAUUUCCUGUAGCUGAAUUGCAAAUGUCCAUUUUAUGGUCCUAUUAAAGUCACAAAGAAUUUAAAAUGGUUGCCCUGAUAAAAUACAUUUUUCCUAAUCUAAAACCAUGUUUAUUAUGUUGUUUGUCUUGAGACAUAUCCCAUUUCUCCCACAAUCACAAUAACUGACCUCACUGUUUCCUUUGAUUGGCGGAAGACAUUUCCUCUGGCGCUUUUCCAUCACUGGGUCUCUCCCUAUCUCACUUGCUCCCUAUGUUUCCUCCCCCUCUCCAUAAUACUUACUGUACUCUCUCUCUCUCUCUCUCUCUCUCUCUCUCUCUCUCUCUCUCUCUCUCUCUCUCUCUCUCUCUCUCUCUCUCUCUCUCUCUCUCUCUCUCUCCCUCUCUCUCUCUCUCUCUCCCUCUCUCUCUCUCUCUCUCCUUGCAGUCUGAAGGCAUGAUUGUUUAAUGAAAUGUUUUAUUUUAUUGUAAUUGUAAGAAAAAGUGUAUAUUUUAAAGCAGAACAGCUUAACAGUAUAUAUUGCCAACAUAAUACAUGUUUAUGUCUGUUAAGUAAUGUAAAUAGAUUAGAUCUGUUCAUCACCCUCUAUAGAGGAUUUAUGACCUUGUUGACAGACUUCUGCUCUUGGUUCUUACAAAGGUUUUUUGUAAGUUUCCACCAUGCCUGAAGAUUUAUUCACCUUCAAUAAUUAAUAACAUUUUAUUUCCCCAACUGGUCCUUCAUGCAUAGUUGAUUCAUGGGUUGUUAUUUGUUUAAUAAAGUAGAAGAGCAGGGUGAAACCUAAGACCUCAUUUGAUCCAAUCCCGUGGGUGACUGUUUAUCCCUGGCCAUCUCUAACUUUGUUUGCAGGACUGUUAUCUGACUUGUCUACUUGCUGAAAGCAUGUUAACACACUACACACAUGGGCAGCGUCAUAACCAGUCAAUGGGUUCUGUGUGGAAUGAGAUUGAUACUGUUAUAGAAUCUGGACAUUGGGCACAGUCAACCACAUACCAGAUGAGUGAGAAGCGAGGCCUUUCUGAAAAGGGAUUCAAUUGUAAAUGUCCUUGAUCAUUGUGUGGAUCCCUGCUUCUGCACUGCAUUACCUACAUAUCAAAAUAAUCCCAUUCAGAUAACUUUUUUCUAGUUAUGGUUCUCCUUUUCACAGAGUUUCGAUGAAAGUAGCUCAGGUUCAGUAAAGGUCAGGUGCUUUUAUUGUAAAACUAGCCACCAUGCUGUAUAUGUAUCCUUUGCUGUCCAAUGUAUGACUUUCUGCCACCAAAACCCUUGAGUUAGGAAUGCUGCUUACUUGCUUCUGUCUCUGCUUGGCAUUUUGCCAAAUUUGUGAACAUUUGUGAAGAAAUCGUGUUAUUAAUAUUGCCCUCAGAGCCUCAGUGUCCAAAAGAGUCCUCAAACCAGGCAAUUAAUAUUGGUCAGUUUUUAACAAAGUCCCUCUAGAGAUUAAAACAACCACAAAAUGAAUAAAAGGAAGCGUAAUAUUUGGUUGUGCAAAACAUGCUCCGUGAUGGGAGUAAACUCAGUGGGCCAAACAAUGUCUUAUAAACAGACGGACAGCAUACUGUAUGAGUAUGCACAAUUAAUUACUAUUCACCAUUAUUUUACCAGGUAAGUUGACUGAGAACACAUUCUCAUUUACAGCAACAAUCUGAGGAAUCGUUACAGGGGAGAGGAGGGGGGAUGAAUGAGCCAAUGUAAACUGUGGAUGAUUAGGUGGCUAUGAUGGUAUGAGGGCCAGAUUGGGAAUUUAGCCAGGACACCAGGGUUAACACCCCUACUCUUACGAUUAAUUAAUUGGGGAGGACGGGCUUGUGUUAAUGACUGUAGCGGAAUCAAUGGAAUGGUACUAAAUACAUCAAACACAUGCUUUCCAGGUGUUUAAUGCCAUUCCAUUUGCUUAGUUCCAGCCAUUAUUAUGAGCAAAGGGCACGCUUUGGUUCGGCUGGCGCUGAGCCUACCUCGUGUGCUUGCAUACUCUAAUAAAGUGUACCUGCAUACUCCCUUAAAAUACCUUCGCUUGAAAAUCAGGAAAAAGCAGCAAUAGUAUUGUUUGUCCAUCUUGAAAUGCUGUAGCUAGUAUACUGCCUCAAAAUAGUCAAAAUUAAUCUAAAAUAACUCAUUAAUGUUGACGUUUUUGCCAAGGAGAUCUUAGUCGCAUAAAAUCUAACUAAGCAGCCUGGUCUCAUAGAGUAGACGUAACAUAGUAAACGUCAAUCCGGAACAGUCAAGCUAGUGUGAUAUUUUACAUUUGGUAAGGUUACACAAGACAGAAGGUUACUUAAAACCUCUUAGGGAUCCCUAAACGCCCACUCCCGCUUGAAUCCCGGUAACGGGAUUGAUUUGACAACAUCCAGUGAAAUUGCAGCGAGCCAAAUUCAAAAACAGAAAUACUCAUAAUAAGAAUUCACAGAACAUACAAGUGUUAAACAUCAAAAUAAAUCUUAACUUCUUGUUAACUUCUUAACCUCUUGAAACUAGGGGGCACUAUUUUCAUUUUUGGAAAAAUAACGUUCCCAAAGUAAACAGGCUAUUUUUCAGGACCAGAUAAUAGAAUAUGCAUAUAAUUGACAGCUUAGGAUAGAAAACACUCUAAAGUUUCCAAAACUGUAAAAAUAUUGUCUGUGAGUAUAACAGAACUGAUAUUGCAGGCGAAAGCCUGAGAAAUCGAAUCAGGAAGUGACUCUUAUUUAGAAACCUCUGCGUUCCUAUGCGUCCUUAUUGAGCAGUGAAAGGGAUGUCAACCAGAUUCCUUUUUCUAUGGCUUCCCUAAUGUGUCUAGUGUCACAAGACAUAGUUUCAGUUUCACUUUCACUUUUAAGUUUCAGUUUCACUUUUAUUUUGAAAAAUGAGCGUGAGCGACAACAUUGCGUCAGUGGUCAGCUGGUGGAUCUCAGAGUGAUGUGUGCGUAAUAGACAAAUGCGGCCAUUGUUUCUCUCGCUCCUACUAAGAAGCCAACUGACCCGGUUGAUAUAUUAUCGAAUAGAUAUUUGAAAAACACCUUGAGGAUUGAUUAUAUAAAAAUGUUUGCCAAGUUUCUAUCGAUAUUAUGGAUCUAAUUUGGAAUAUUUUUCGGCGUUGUCGUGACCGGAAAUUUCCGGUCGAUUUCUCAGCCAAACGUGAAGAACAAACGGAGCUAUUUCGGCUACAAAAAUAAUCUUUAUGGAAAAAAGGAACAUUUGCUAUCUAACUGGGAGUCUCGUGAGUGAAAACAUCCGAAGCUCAAAGGUAAACGAUAUAAUUUGAUUGCUUUUCUGAUUUGUGACCAAGCUGCCUGCUGCUAGCUAGGCAUAAUGCUAUGAUGAUAGCAGAACAGUAAACAAAGAGAGUAGCAUAUUUCAACCCUGCAGGCGCUACACAAAACGCAGAAAUAAAAUAUAAAACAUGCCUUACCUUUGACAAGCUUCUUUUGUUGGCACUCCAAUAUGUCCCAUAAUCAUCACAAUUGGUCCUUUUGUUCGAUUAAUUCCAUCCAUAUAUAUCCAAAAUGUCCAUUUAUUUGGCGCGUUUGAUCCAGAAAAAAACAGCUUCCAAUUGCGCAACGUCACUACAAAACAUCUCAAAAGUUGCCUGUAAACUUUGCCCAAACACUUCAAACUACUUUUGUAAUACAACUUUAGGUAUUUUUAAACGUUAAUAAUCGAUCAAAUUGAAGACGGGUCUAUCUGUGUUCAAUACAGGAAGACAACAAACCAAGCUACUUUUCAAGUCUUGCGCAACUCUCAACAGUGUUACGCAGUUCCUAGAUGUACUUCUUCAUUGCACAAAGGAAUAACCUCAACCAAAUUCCAAAGACUGGUGACAUCCAGUGGAAGCGGUAGGAACUGAAAACAAGUGCCUAAGAAAUAUCGUUUCCCACUGAGAACUCUACUGAACAAACAGAGACCUCAAAAAAAGAACCAUCUGAACGGUUAGUUCUCAGGGUUUUGCCUGCUACAUAAGUUCUGUUAUACUCACAGACAUGAUUCAAGCAGUUUUAGAAACUUCAGAGUGUUUUCUAUCCAAAUCUACUAAUAAUAUGCAUAUCUUAUAUUCUCGGCAUGAGUAGCAGGAAGUUGAAUUUGGACACGCUAUUUAUCUAAAAGUGAAAAUGCUGCCCCCUAUACCUUAAGAAGUUAAUCCAGCCACUGUGUCAGAUUUCAAAAAGGCUUUACGGCAAAAGCAGACAAUGCGAUUAUCUGAGGACUGCACCCCGCAUACAAACACAUGAAAAUCAGAUUCAACAAGGCAGGUGCGUGACAAAAGUCAGAAAUAGCAAUAUAAUUAAUGCCUUACCUUGAAGAUCUUCUUCUGUUGGCACUCCAAAAUGUCCCAGAAACAUCACAAAUGGUCCUUUUGUUCGAUAAUGUCCUUCAUUAUGUCCCAAAAAUGUCCAUUCAUUUGGCUCAUUUGAUUCAGAAAUACACCGGUUUCAUCUCGUCCAACAUGCCUACAAAGUAUCUAAUAAUUUACCUGUAAACUUGGUCCAAACAUUUCAAACAAUGUUCCUAAUCCAACCUAAGGUAUCCUAAAACGUAAAUAAUUGAUCCAAUUUAAGAAGGGAUAUACUGUGUUCAAUACCGGAUAAAAACAACGUGAAGCGCAUUCCAGGUCACGCACAACAAAAGACUUCAUCUGAGUGACACAUGGAAAGAACAGGACUACUUCUUCAUUUCUCAAAAGAAAAACAUCAACCAAAUUCUAAAGACUGUUGACUGAUAGUGGAAGCCAUAGGAACUGCAACCAGAUUCCUAUUAAAAAGGGUUUCCCAUAGAAAACUAAUGGAAAACACAUUGACCUCCAAAAAUUGGAUGGAUUGUGCUCGGGGUUUCGCCUGCAAAAUCAGUUCUGUUAUACUCACAGACGUUAUUCAAACAGUUUUAGAAACUGUAAUAAUAAUAUGCAUAUCCUAGCUUCUGUGCCUGGGUAGCAGGCAGCUUGCUUUGGACACGCUUUUCAUCCGGACGUGAAAAUACUUUGGUCUGGGUAUC
rnacentral:lncRNA from 1 species